rnacentral:rRNA from 1 species
AGCUCCAAUAGCAUAUAUUAAAGUUGUUGCGGUUAAAAGCUCGUAGUUGGAUUUAUGCCGAGGACGACCCGUCCGCCUUGCGGGUGAGUAUCUGGGACGACCUGGGCAUAUUCUUGGAGAACGUGUCUGCACUUGACUGUGUGGUGCAGUAUCCCGGAUUUUUACUUUGAGGAAAUUAGAGUGUUUCAAGCAGGCCCACGCCUUGAAUACAUUAGCAUGGAAUCAUAAGAUAGGACAUCGGGUCUAUUUUGCUGGUUUCUAGAGUUGAGGUAAUGAUUAAUAGGGAUAGCUG